UGGGCCAGUGCUCGCAUGGAGUCCAUCCUGUCGAAACUCCUGGGCUCAAGUGAAAUUCCUGUCUCAGCCUUCUGACUAGCUGGGACUACAGGUGUGCACCACUGUGCCCAGCCAGAGUCACCCCGGGUUUGUUUUUUCCUGUGUAUAGAUGAUUCUCAGAAUGGCCAAAGUGGCCAGGCACGGUGGCUCACCCCUGAGUUCCCAGCACUUUGGGAGGCCAGGGCAGGCAGAUCACGAGGUCAAGAGAUCGAAACCAUCCAGGGCAGAAUGAAAAGGGCCUGCCUGCAGGUAGGAUCCCCUCUGGGCAAGCAACAUGCCUUGGCUCAGAACAAAGGGUAGCAUCACCUGUCAUUAGAUUUUAGUGGAAUAACUCAAAAUUAAUGACAGAAAAAAAGAAAGAAAAAAGUCUGGACUUCUUUACAAAAUCAGUGCAGUCACAGAGAGAAGGGGUUAUAAUCAAAACUGAACUCUCUGAAGGCAGGACAUCUUUAUCUUCCACAAGGCCUAAAGUAGGGCAUACAAUAAUUGUGCAGCAAAUAUUUUCGAUUGACUUAUGAUUUUUUUUACCCGUAGUAAUGUAUUAAGGGGCUGAACCCACUAUCCACUUAUUUCCUUCAACUCAAUCGGGGUAUAGAUUUGGAAACCCCACAGGAGUCCCAGGAGACCACCAGGGCCCGCAUUGAGACCCCUCUUUUACAGCCAGGGAAACUGAGGCUUGGCAUGACCUUGGGUGGUCUCUGGACCUCAGUUUGCUCUCUGUGAGUCCAGCCUUGGUGCUUGGAGAUGUGUGCAUAGACCUCCUGCUCCUGCUCUGCAGCACCCUGGGCACUCUGGGCACAUCCCACUGAAAGCUCUUAGGGGCAUGAUCAUGACUAUGGAGGAGGCUCAGAUGCUAUGGGAAGCCCUAAUUUACAGAUGACAGGUGUUUUGGCCAGAAAGUAACUCCACAGGAGUGGCACUGGGUGUUACCAGGUUGACCCCAUCUGUACAGGGAUCCUUUUUACAAUAUCCUUGGCAGAUGGACAUCCAGAGAGUGUCCAAGUAACUUGCUACCAACCAAGGGGGCCGAGAACUCCCAUGGUGGUUAACGCCCACCAUUGUAGGUUCUUUCCUAAAUUCAGCCAGCAUCUGGCUUCCUGGAGCUUCUGCUCCCUGUUCCUCAUUCAGCUCUACAUCCUGUGGUUUCAGAGGGUGAACACAGCUCCUUUGUGACAUGACAGUCCUUCUCUCAUAACUCUCAUAUUCAUAAGAGGCUGAAUAAGCCCCGGUUCUCCAACUGUUCUCAGAUGGCAUGGAUGACAGAGCCUCCACUCUGGACAUGUUUCCAUCUGUGUGGAUGUCCAUCCCUCAGGUGUGGUCUCACCUUACACGGUAUGUGGCCACACGGGCAGCUCUGUCUUGGGGAGAGCUCAUCGUAUCAUGACUUGAUGGAGCUGGGCGGGACUUCAGGCACCAUCAGUUCUAUCUCUGGCCUGCAGCAGGAACCCCUGAGUGGCACUCCUGAUAGGUGUGGCCUCCACAUUACCCCACACUGAGGCAAAGCAUGCCUUACUCCUUCCUAGGAUAUCCCUGUGCCCUCCUGAUGACAACCCUGUGACUCUUAUUAGAGCUACUGUCCCCUUGGUUUCCUUCCAAACACUGGGUUCAAGACCCUGUAUUUGCUCUCUUGGAACUGUAAGCCCUUGGCUGAAUGGCCCCUCCCCAGCAGUAGAAGUAGAGAGCUGUGGUGAAGGAUCAGGGGGCCGGUGGGGUAGGUGAGGGCCCACGGCAUGUCUGGGGUUACCGGUCACCUGUGUCAGGGGCGACACACUCGCACUUGUAGGUAGUGAUGAAGUUUGGCUUGAAGUCCAUAUUGAUAGGGUAGUACUUGAAGGCACCGAUCAUCUUCUUGAUGGCAUCGUAGAUGAAGAUGAAGCUGAUAAGGGUGGAGAAGCCCUCCUCGGUGAAGCGGGUGAUAUAUUUGAUGAUAAAGCUGGCAUCUGUGGCCACUAGGAUAAGGCACUGGACAGCUGAGUGUAGGCCAAUCCAGAGGCGGAACUCCAUGUAGUCCAGGCCAUUGCCUCUGGAAGGCAGAGGGGAGGUGAGGGGCCUCCAGCCCAGGGCUCCUGGCUGUGCUUGACUCCUCAGACUCAUCCUUAAGUGGC
rnacentral:lncRNA from 10 species